rnacentral:rRNA from 1 species
UACGGAGGGAGCUAGCGUUGUUCGGAAUUACUGGGCGUAAAGCGCGCGUAGGCGGCUUUGUAAGUUAGAGGUGAAAGCCCGGGGCUCAACCCCGGAAUUGCCUUUAAGACUGCAUCGCUUGAAUCCGGGAGAGGUGAGUGGAAUUCCGAGUGUAGAGGUGAAAUUCGUAGAUAUUCGGAAGAACACCAGUGGCGAAGGCGGCACUCUGGGCCGGAACUGACGCUGAGGAGCGAAAGCGUGGGGAGCAAACAGG